rnacentral:rRNA from 1 species
UGAUCCAGCCAUGCGCGUGAGUGAUGAAGGCCUUCGGGUCGUAAAGCUCUGUGGGGAGGGACGAAAAGCGUGACCUAAUACGUCUCGCCUUGACGGUACCUCCUUAGCAAGCACCGGCUAACUCCGUGCCAGCAGCCGCGGUAAUACGGAGGGUGCAAACGUUGCUCGGAAUUAUUGGGCGUAAAGGGCGUGUAGGUGGCUUGCCAAGUCUGGUGUGAAAGCCCACGGCUCAACCGUGGAACUGCAUUGGAAACUGGCAAGCUCGAGUGUUGGAGGGGGUCGCGGAAUUCCCGGUGUAGAGGUGAAAUUCGUAGAUAUCGGGAGGAACACCAGUGGCGAAGGCGGCGACCUGGCCAAUCACUGACACUGAGACGCGAAAGCGUGGGGAGCAAACAGGAUUAGAUACCCUGGUAGUCCACGCCGUAAACGAUGGGUGCUAGCCAUAUCGGGUGUUGACCCUUAGGUGUGGCGAAGCCAACGCGUUAAGCACCCCGCCUGGGGAGUACGGUCGCAAGAUUAAAACUCAAAGGAAUUGACGGGG